UAAUUUUUCUCAAAUCCUCUACCUCAUGCUUUCUAACAAUACUCAUUAAUGAUCUAAAUGUUUAUUUAAGCAAUAAGUUCUUAGGAAAGACUCAAUUUUCUACAUAACUGGUUUUUUUUCUGGGGAACUUUCUUUAAUUUCAUUCUUGUUUAUACUAGCUUUUUGUGUUCCUGGCUCUAGCACUCAGAGAGAGGCCUUAGACAGUAAGAAACUUAAGUAGGACAAAAGGUGUGUAGCAAACAUUCACCAAGGGCAGUAAAGGGUCAGUCCGGUUGUCUAAGCACAAGAGCUUUGUCAAGCAGUGCCUUCAGGAUGCUUGGUAUCGCUAGACACCUGCAGUGCCAGAGAACGGACAUUGGGGAUGAGUGACUCCAUAAUGGAUGGAUAAUAAAGGCACCAUGGCAACUGGGUUUUCGCUGGAUAAAUAGUGAAGAGGGACAUUUAACUCAAGAAAGGCGUACAAGGCCAUCCCAGAUAAUAUAGAUAUUCAUCCAUGAAAGAAGAAUGUUAUACUGUUGACGUAGAACAUGGGGAAAGUUCCUUACGACCUUUGCACAAGUAAAGUUUUCUUAAGCAAGACAGAAAUUUAAUGUUCAACUAAACGAAGUCAUCUGAUAGAAUGGAAACUGUUCACUGAGAUACACAAUCAGGAAGGUGAAAUAAGAAUCUCGAAGCUGGCUAAAAGGUAUUUAAUACCACCUUGCUUAAAGAGAGGUACUAUUACUCCCACCAAAAACUAACAGGAAAAUUCAUGUUGAUAAUUGUGAGAACAAAGAGAAUUCUCAUAUAUCACUGACAGGAUUAUAAAUUGGUAGACCUCUUUGGAAAGUUAUUGUUGCAAAGUGAAUUUGGACAUGCCCAUCACCUAUGAUGUCAUAUUUCAAUUCCACUUUUAGAUAACAGCAAAAUGACUUCUUGUUCAGCUCUAAGGAAUAAGCAAGUGUUCUCACAGUGGCAACCUAGAAACUACCCAUUCUUUUCAUCAGGAGCAGAAUGGAUGGAUUGUGACAUAUUUUGAGUAUGAAAAAAUAGAAAUUGCCUAAAUAAAUGGUCACCAG
rnacentral:lncRNA from 1 species